rnacentral:rRNA from 5 species
UAUACCGUGAAACUGCGAAUGGCUCAUUAAAUCAGUUAUCGUUUAUUUGAUAGUACCUUACUACUUGGAUAACCGUGGUAAUUCUAGAGCUAAUACAUGCUAAAAACCCCAACUUCGGGAGGGGUGUAUUUAUUAGAUAAAAAACCAAUGCCCUUCGGGGCUCUUUGGUGAUUCAUGAUAACUUAACGGAUCGCAUGGCCUUGCGCCGGCGACGGUUCAUUCAAAUUUCUGCCCUAUCAACUUUCGAUGGUAAGGUAUUGGCUUACCAUGGUUUCAACGGGUAACGGGGAAUUAGGGUUCGAUUCCGGAGAGGGAGCCUGAGAAACGGCUACCACAUCCAAGGAAGGCAGCAGGCGCGCAAAUUACCCAAUCCCGACUCGGGGAGGUAGUGACAAUAAAUACUGAUACAGGGCUCUUUUGGGUCUUGUAAUCGGAAUGAGUACAAUUUAAACCCCUUAACGAGGAACAAUUGGAGGGCAAGUCUGGUGCCAGCAGCCGCGGUAAUUCCAGCUCCAAUAGCGUAUAUUAAAGUUGUUGCAGUUAAAAAGCUCGUAGUUGAACCUUGGGCCUGGCUGGCCGGUCCGCCUCACCGCGUGUACUGGUCCGGCCGGGCCUUUCCUUCUGGAGAGCCGCAUGCCCUUCACUGGGUGUGUCGGGGAACCAGGACUUUUACUUUGAAAAAAUUAGAGUGUUCAAAGCAGGCCUUUGCUCGAAUACGUUAGCAUGGAAUAAUAGAAUAGGACGUGCGGUCCUAUUUUGUUGGUUUCUAGGACCGCCGUAAUGAUUAAUAGGGAUAGUCGGGGGCAUCAGUAUUCAAUUGUCAGAGGUGAAAUUCUUGGAUUUAUUGAAGACUAACUACUGCGAAAGCAUUUGCCAAGGAUGUUUUCAUUAAUCAGUGAACGAAAGUUAGGGGAUCGAAGACGAUCAGAUACCGUCGUAGUCUUAACCGUAAACUAUGCCGACUAGGGAUCGGGCGAUGUUUCUAUCUUGACUCGCUCGGCACCUUACGAGAAAUCAUAAG